UCCACUAUUCUAGUAUUUAUUCUUGAUUUAUUCCACUAUCGGUUCAUUUAUAAUGGGCACUAAUUACAAUAACAAUCACAGAAAGUGUUCUAAAUGCGGAAUAACACGUAGUGAUGAUAACUCUAUUAUAAUGCAUCGUUUCCCUAAACCGGGUACAGACAACAUUUUAAAGGCAAUGGCUUGGGCUACGUAUUGCUGGCCUGAUAAAGAUCAUCCCAUAAAAUCUUUAUCCGGACUCUACAAAAAGAACAAGGUUUUAUGUAGCAAACACUUUCAACCAUCCAUGUAUAAGGAUAAUGACAUACGUCUGUCUAAAUAUGCAAUACCGGGACCAAGGGAAUAUGUAACUAAUUUACUGCAGACAUUGAAGGCCAAAAUGUCAGUGCCUUCAAUAGUAAAACAAGUUUCAUUAGAACUCCAGAGUAUUCCAGAACCUGGUUCGACAAAAGCCGGCAGUUGUAAGUUUUUUUUAAAUUAAUUUUAUGGCAAUUAGCAAACCAAUAUUAGAUUGUGUUUUUUUAAUAAUUUAACACAUUCACUAACAGACAAAAUGGCACACUACGUCAUAAACCGGUCGUAAUUUAUAACUGCCAGCUUGUAUGGCAGAACCCGCCUGGCGAGUUUUCCGGUGUCUGAGCUAAUUCACGAGUGCCCACCAGGCGGGAUCUUGG